rnacentral:lncRNA from 1 species
AGAGCACCCUCAAUGAGUAUAAAUGUUCUUUUAGAAACUCAAUGUUAGAAUUCCCAUUGGGGUGCUCUAAGAUUUAAAGAAUAAGUGUCCGGACAAAACUUAGGUUCACCCAUACGGUGAACCUUUUAAAUUCACCACCUCUCUUACCACCAAUCAAAGUGCCAACUAGAUAAUUAAUAAAAAAUAUUAAAUUUUAUUUAAAAAAUUUAAAAUAGUUAAAAAAAUAAUGAUGUCUAACAAAACCCUAAAUCCUAAACUCUAAACCCUAAAUCUAAAUAUAACCCCUAAAUACUAAACCAAAAUCCUAUACCCAAAAUCCAAAUAGUAAACCUUAAACCCAAAUCCUAUAUUAUAAACCCAAAUCAUAAACCCAAACCCAAACUGUAAACCCAAAUCCUAGACCUUUAACCCAAACCGUAAACUCU